CGGGUGUCAGCGGCAGACGGGUGAGUAACACGUGGGAACGUACCCUUUGGUUCGGAAUAACGCAUGGAAACGUGCGCUAAUACCGGAUACGCCCUUUUGGGGAAAGGCUUGCUGCCGAAGGAUCGGCCCGCGUCUGAUUAGCUAGUUGGUGGGGUAACGGCCUACCAAGGCGACGAUCAGUAGCUGGUCUGAGAGGAUGAUCAGCCACACUGGGACUGAGACACGGCCCAGACUCCUACGGGAGGCAGCAGUGGGGAAUAUUGGACAAUGGGCGCAAGCCUGAUCCAGCCAUGCCGCGUGAGUGAUGAAGGCCUUAGGGUUGUAAAGCUCUUUUGUCCGGGACGAUAAUGACGGUACCGGAAGAAUAAGCCCCGGCUAACUUCGUGCCAGCAGCCGCGGUAAUACGAAGGGGGCUAGCGUUGCUCGGAAUCACUGGGCGUAAAGGGCGCGUAGGCGGCCAUUCAAGUCGGGGGUGAAAGCCUGUGGCUCAACCACAGAAUUGCCUUCGAUACUGUUUGGCUUGAGUAUGGUAGAGGUCAGUGGAACUGCGAGUGUAGAGGUGAAAUUCGUAGAUAUUCGCAAGAACACCAGUGGCGAAGGCGGCUGACUGGACCAUUACUGACGCUGAGGCGCGAAAGCGUGGGGAGCAAACAGGAUUAGAUACCCUG
rnacentral:rRNA from 1 species